UGUUGCUAAACAAGAAUGUAGCUUUUCUAGAUCGUUUGAUGCAGUGAAGUGUGAAGGAGAUUGUCAAAUUAUAUAUAAAUUGAGAUGUGAUAUCAGUGACCAUCUUAUUCGUUUUAAAUCCGGUCCAAAAGACAAGCAUGUAUCAAUACCAGAGGGUUUAUUAAUACUGUAUCGUGCUGGUUUAUUUACGGUGGAAAAUGCCACUAUGAAAAUGACAAUAUGUGACUCUCACAGAGACAAACUUAGUACACAAUGGUAUAGAUGUAAGCGAACAUGUGCACAUCCCUUACACCCAAAGUCAAGUAAAGAAAAGCCAGAUCGGGGAAUAACACUUGCCAUGGCAAAAGAGAUAUGGGUGCAUGACAGAACCAUCACAGCAGUUGGAGAUGGUUUAUGCAGAAGUUGUGUAGAAAGACACAAGAAAACAUACCUUACAGUUGUAGAUGUACAAAAUGAUAUUGUGGAGUUCCAUAAAGUUGCAAUGAAUUUUCAUGAACAGAAUAUUAAUAGAAGUGAACAGGUGGUACCUUG